rnacentral:misc_RNA from 1 species
CGACUUAGUUGAUGGUCCGCAACCUAUGGAAGUAGCACCAGCAGAAACAGCAAGUGCAGUUGAUGCGCAGUCAGUGGAUGAUCCACCAUCAGCAAGGUUCACGUGGACGAUUGAUAGUUUUUCAAGGCCCAAUAGCAAGAAGCUCUAUUCUGAUAUUUUUGUUGUUGGAGGCUAUAAAUGGCGGAUUCUGAUUUUCCCAAAGGGAAACAAUGUGGAUCAUUUGUCCAUGUAUCUGGAUGUUGCAGAUUCUGCAACUUUGCCAUAUGGGUGGAGUAGAUAUGCGCAGUUCAGCUUGUCUGUUGUCAAUCAAAUUCAUCAAAAAUACUCAAUCCGGAAAGACACGCAGCACCAAUUCAAUGCACGGGAGAGUGAUUGGGGCUUCACUUCAUUCAUGCCUCUCGGGGAAUUGUAUGACCCUGGAAGAGGUUAUCUUGUUAAUGACACAUGCA